CAGCCGCCGCGGGAAAACGUAGGUGGCAAGCGUUGUCCGGAAUUAUUGGGCGUAAAGGGCUCGCAGGCGGUUUCUUAAGUCUGAUGUGAAAGCCCCCGGCUCAACCGGGGAGGGUCAUUGGAAACUGGGAAACUUGAGUGCAGAAGAGGAGAGUGGAAUUCCACGUGUAGCGGUGAAAUGCGUAGAGAUGUGGAGGAACACCAGUGGCGAAGGCGACUCUCUGGUCUGUAACUGACGCUGAGGAGCGAAAGCGUGGGGAGCGAACAGGAUUAGAGACCCGUGUAGUCCCUGUCUCUUAUAC
rnacentral:rRNA from 1 species